rnacentral:rRNA from 1 species
UACGUAGGGGGCAAGCGUUGUCCGGAAUCAUUGGGCGUAAAGCGCGUGUAGGCGGCUUGGUAAGUCUGCUCUGAAAGCCCGGGGCUCAACCCUCGAAUGCCGGUGGAUACUGUCGGGCUAGAGUGCGGAAGAGGCGAGUGGAAUUCCUGGUGUAGCGGUGAAAUGCGCAGAUAUCAGGAGGAACACCAAUUGCGAAGGCAGCUCGCUGGGACGUAACUGACGCUGAGACGCGAAAGCGUGGGGAGCAAACAGG